rnacentral:lncRNA from 1 species
UUUUAUAGGAUCUUCCACAUGCCUAAAAAUUCAUACUUAAAUCAAUAAAAUCAAAAAGAAAGUGUUAUAGGAAGCAGGCAAUAAAUAAAUAUGAAGCUAUGGAAUAUACCCAAUUUCCUCUUUUGUUCUAACAGUUACUCUAGAAUAAUAAUUUAUUUCAGAUACUAAAAAUUGUUAAGCUAAAAUAGUUCCUACUUCUGUCACAAUUCCUUUCAGAAAUGCAUUCAGGAGAACUGUUCUUACUGGUGGAAUGAAUCCCAAGAUUUAGAAGUUUUAGCUGCUGCUGAAAGAAUUCUCUCUAAAAUCGAAAUAAAAUGUUACUCUUCAGAUAUUGUCACAUUUCUUUAAAUAUGAAGGACUCAAACAUAACCUGAUAAUCAGGGAAGUCAAGGAACAAGUGAAUUGAGCAGGGGGCUCCUAGACUGUGAAGCACUCCACACUCCAGCAGCAACUGAGAGUCAAGGCCUGCUUGACCCAGAUAGCUCUCUUUGUAGGAGGAGCAAGCAGUCUCAAUUAAUCUGGACCUCGAGAUCUCUCAGAUACUGGACCACCAACCAGGCAGCAUACACCAGCUGAUAUGAGGCCCCCAACGCAUAUACAGUAGAGGACUGCCUGG